rnacentral:rRNA from 1 species
CCUACGGGGGGCAGCAGUGGGGAAUUUUGGACAAUGGGCGCAAGCCUGAUCCAGCUAUUCCGCGUGUGGGAAGACGGCCUUCGGGUUGUAAACCACUUUUGUAGAGAACGAAAAGUCUAUUGAUAAUACCGAUAGAUGAUGACGGUACUCUAAGAAUAAGCACCGGCUAACUACGUGCCAGCAGCCGCGGUAAUACGUCGGGUGCGAGCGUUAAUCGGAAUUACUGGGCGUAAAGGGUGUGCAGGCGGUUUUGCAAGAUGGAUGUGAAAGCCCCGGGCUUAACCUGGGAAAGCCAUACAUGACUGGAAGACUAGAGUGCGUCAGAGGGGGGUGGAAUUCCAAGUGUAGCAGUGAAAUGCGUAGAUAUUUGGAAGAACACCGAUGGCGAAGGCAGCCCCCUGGGACGCAACUGACGCUCAUACACGAAAGCGUGGGGAGCAAACAGGAUUAGAUACCCCGGUAGUC